ACGUGCGGGUGCUUACCUGCAGUCGAACGAUGAACGCGGCGUGCUUAACACAUGCAAGUCGAACGAUGAACCACCUUCGGGUGGGGAUUAGUGGCGAACGGGUGAGUAACACGUGGGCAAUCUGCCCUGCACUCUGGGACAAGCCCUGGAAACGGGGUCUAAUACCGGAUACUGAACCGCUUGGGCAUCCAGGCGGUUCGAAAGCUCCGGCGGUGCAGGAUGAGCCCGCGGCCUAUCAGCUUGUUGGUGAGGUAACGGCUCACCAAGGCGACGACGGGUAGCCGGCCUGAGAGGGCGACCGGCCACACUGGGACUGAGACACGGCCCAGACUCCUACGGGAGGCAGCAGUGGGGAAUAUUGCACAAUGGGCGAAAGCCUGAUGCAGCGACGCCGCGUGAGGGAUGACGGCCUUCGGGUUGUAAACCUCUUUCAGCAGGGAAGAAGCGAAAGUGACGGUACCUGCAGAAGAAGCGCCGGCUAACUACGUGCCAGCAGCCGCGGUAAUACGUAGGGCGCGAGCGUUGUCCGGAAUUAUUGGGCGUAAAGAGCUCGUAGGCGGCUUGUCGCGUCGGUUGUGAAAGCCCGGGGCUUAACCCCGGGUCUGCAGUCGAUACGGGCAGGCUAGAGUUCGGUAGGGGAGAUCGGAAUUCCUGGUGUAGCGGUGAAAUGCGCAGAUAUCAGGAGGAACACCGGUGGCGAAGGCGGAUCUCUGGGCCGAUACUGACGCUGAGGAGCGAAAGCGUGGGGAGCGAACAGGAUUAGAUACCCUGGUAGUCCACGCCGUAAACGGUGGGCACUAGGUGUGCGACAUUCCACGUCGUCCGUGCCGCAGCUAACGCAUUAAGUGCCCCGCCUGGGGAAAUACCGCCCGC
rnacentral:rRNA from 1 species